GCCGCUAUCGUCUAGUGGUCAGGACAUCAGCUUCUCAAGCUGAGAACACCGGUUCGACUCCGGUUAGCGGCACCA
rnacentral:tRNA from 1 species